ACAAUUAACUCUUUUUAUAAAAUAAUAGUUAUUCCGUGAGUCCACUACGCAGUAACAGCGCUCCCUUCGUCACUGACGUAAUUUUUGGAAUCUCAUGGUAUUCUGUUAAUAAAUUUUACAUUACGUCUUAAUAAGUGGAGGGAGGUAACCUAGUGAGUUGUUGUCUAUUAAUAUCGUGACAAUUGACUCAUUUUAUUUUAUAAAAAGAGUUAAUUGUCAAAAUUUUCAUCAUACAUAAACAAAAUAUUUUUAAUAAAACAAAAAGGUCGACGUUUGAAUUAAAAAAAAUAUUAAAAAAAAAGAUAAACCGUGAAAAUAUCUCAAAAAUGAUUUAUCUGAUGGAAAAUAAUAGAAUAGCGAGGAAAAUUAUUAAAACCCAUCUGGCAAUGGGGCCGCUUAAAGGUAAGUAGUGAGUUUAUUUAUUAGUCAAUCGUAAGUUACGUAUUUUGUUUAUAACUUCCAAUUAAGAGUUUAUAUUUCGUAUUUACCCGACAACUGACCAGCCGUGGUGUAUAUGAGCGACAGAAACUUAAAAAUAUUAAUUAUGUUUCAGCACGAAACAAGGGAUACCUAACAUCUGGAUAUAUUGUAAAAAAAUUAAGAAUAUUAUCUUAACAAAAAGAUAAAAGAUGAUGUCACGCUAAAAGUGAUUCUCUCAGCAAAUGGGCUACGGAUUCAAAGUAAACAGGAUGGAUAGGUGUUUUAAAUUUUCAAAAUGUUACUAAAGGUAACCAAGCCAUCAGUGGUAGUUGUCAAGAAUGAGGAA